CCUUGCUCAGGAUGAACGCUGGAGGUAUGCUUAACACAUGCAAGUCGAACGGUCUUUUGACAGUGGCGGACGGGUGAGUAACACGUAAGUUAUCUACAUUCAGGAGAGGAAUAACAAAUGGAAACGUUUGCUAAUACCUCGUAGUUCUCAAUUGUGAGAUAAAGAAACAUGUUUUCGCCUGGAUAUGAGCUUGCGGCUGAUUAGCUAGUUGGUGGGGUAAUGGCCUACAAAGGCUUUGAUCAGUAGCUGUUUUGAGAGGAAGAACAGCCACACUGGGACUGAGACACGGAACAGACUCCUACGGGAGGCAGCAGUGAGGAAUUUUUGGCAAUGGGCGUCAGCCUGACCAAGCAACACCUCGUGAGGGAUGAAGGCUUUUGGGUCGUAAACCUCUUUUCUCAUUGAAGAAAGACUGACGGUAUUUGAGGAAUAAGCAUCGGCUAACUUCGUGCCAGCAGCCGCGGUAAUACGAGGGAUGCAAGCGUUAUCCGGAAUUAUUGGGCGUAAAGCGUCUGUAGAUUGUUUAAUAAGUUUACUGUUAAAUAUUGGAGCUUAACUUCAAGCAGGCAUUGAAAACUAUUAGACUAGAGUACAAUAGGGGUAAAGGGAAUCUUCAGUGUAGCGGUGAAAUGCGUAGAUAUUGAAGAGAACACCAAUGGCGAAAGCACUUUGCUAGGUUGAUACUGACAUUGAGAGACGAGAGCUAAGGGAGCGAUCAGGAUUAGAUACCCUGGUAGUCUUAGCUGUAAACGAUGGAUACUAAGUGGUGCUUUUAGUACUGCUGUAGCUAACGCGUUAAGUAUCCCGCCUGGGGAGUACGCUUGCAAAAGUGAAACUCAAAGGAAUUGACGGGGGCCCGCACAAGCGGUGGAGUAUGUGGUUUAAUUCGAUGGUACACGAAGAACCUUACCAGGACUUGACAUGUUGAAGAGUUCCUUGAAAAGGGAAUGUGCUUUUAUAGAAUUCAAACACAGGUGGUGCAUGGCUGUCGUCAGUUCGUGUCGUGAGAUGUUGGGUUAAGUCCUAUAACGAACGCAACCCUUUUUUUUAGUUGUUUUUCUAGAAAUACUGCCGGUGAUAAAUCGGAGGAAGGUAGGGAUGACGUCAAGUCAGCAUGCCCUUUAUGUCCUGGGCUACACACGUACUACAAUGAGUAAGACAAUGAGUUGCAAGCUCGUGAGGGUUAGCUAAUCUCUUAAACUUAUUCUUAGUUCGGAUUGUAAGCUGCAACUCGCUUGCAUGAAGUCGGAAUCGCUAGUAAUCGCUGGUCAGCUAUACAGCGGUGAAUAUGUUCUCGGGCCUUGCACACACCGCCCGUCACACCAUGGAAAUUGGUCAAACUUGAAGUAGUUUACUUAACGGUUUUUACUGGGGGUGUCUACUAAGGUUGGGUUGGUAACUAGGGUGAAGUCGUAACAAGGUAGCCGUACUGGAAGG
rnacentral:rRNA from 1 species